GCUAGUAAUGGCAGGUCAGCAUACUGCCGUGAAUACGUUCCCGGGCCUUGUACACACCGCCCGUCACACCAUGAGAGUUGGAAAUACCCGAAGCCUGUGAGCUAACUGUAAAGAGGCNGCAGUCGAAGGUAGAGCCAAUGAUUGGGGUGAAGUCGUAACAAGGUAGC
rnacentral:rRNA from 1 species